GAUGAACGCUGGCGGCGUGCCUAAUACAUGCAAGUCGAGCGAACAGAUAAGGAGCUUGCUCCUUUGACGUUAGCGGCGGACGGGUGAGUAACACGUGGGUAACAUACCUAUAAGACUGGAAUAACUCCGGGAAACCGGGGCUAAUGCCGGAUAACAUGUUGAACCGCAUGGUUCUACAGUGAAAGGCGGCUUUGCUGUCACUUAUAGAUGGACCCGCGCCGUAUUAGCUAGUUGGUGAGGUGACGGCUCACCAAGGCAACGAUACGUAGCCGACCUGAGAGGGUGAUCGGCCACACUGGAACUGAGACACGGUCCAGACUCCUACGGGAGGCAGCAGUAGGGAAUCUUCCGCAAUGGGCGAAAGCCUGGCGGAGCAACGCCGCGUGAGUGAUGAAGGUCUUCGGAUCGUAAAACUCUGUUAUUAGGGAAGAACAAAUGCGUAAGUAACUGUGCGCGUCUUGACGGUACCUAAUCAGAAAGCCACGGCUAACUACGUG
rnacentral:rRNA from 1 species